CUACGUGCCAGCAGCCGCGGUAAUACGGAGGAUGCAAGCGUUAUCCGGAUUUAUUGGGUUUAAAGGGUGCGUAGGCGGUAUUACAAGUCAGGGGUGAAAUCUUGGUGCUUAACAUUAAAAUUGCCUUUGAAACUGUGGUACUUGAGUGUAAAAGAGGUAGGCGGAAUGUGUUGUGUAGCGGUGAAAUGCAUAGAUAUAACACAGAACACCGAUUGCGAAGGCAGCUUACUAUCAUACAACUGACGCUGAUGCACGAAAGCGUGGGGAUCAAACAGGAUUAGAUACCCUGGUAGUCCACGCAGUAAACGAUGAUUACUAGCUGUUAGCGAUAUAUUGUUAGUGGCUAAGCGAAAGCGAUAAGUAAUCCACCUGGGGAGUACGGCCGCAAGGUUAAAACUCAAAUGAAUUGACGGGGGCCCGCACAAGCGGUGGAGCAUGUGGUUUAAUUCGAUGCAACGCGAAGAACCUUACCUACUCUUGACAUCCAUGGAAUCUUGUAGAGAUACGGGAGUGCUUCGGGA
rnacentral:rRNA from 1 species